CUGUGCUAAAAGAGGCUUCUGUUAAGUUUUUCUCUUAAAUCAGAUUUAUAAACAACUUUAAACUAAAGGUCUUUCUACCUUUGCAGGAGAGAAGGAAAACCAAAACCAGUGUGGUGAGCAAAAAGAACCAAAGAACCACAACAAGUGAAGAGACAACAAGAGGGACAGAACUGGGAGAAAAUCACCGUACUUCCGAGCUAAAGUGGGUUUCCUUUAGUUACAGCUCCAUUCCUUCUCCAGAAGAGCUCCAAGUUCCAUGAAUGAAGCAAAAGACUUGUGAAAAUGUCACUACAGUGUGCUGUACAUGCUGCAUGGAAUGGAGUGAAGGGAAUUGUUCAGUCAGCCAUAGUCAGAUAUUUCUCAGGUUCUGAAGUCCCAUAAAAACUUUGAAGGCCGUUUCUGUGUAUCCUGGCAUUGGCAGCUGAAGUGCCAUGUUCAACAGCAAUGCUCCUUCCUUCGCAGAAGGAACCGCAGCAGUUUUGAGUGCAGAAGACCACCUUCCUCUUGAUCUGCAGGUAGCAUAUCCAGCCCUGGCUCGGGGAUCUUUGCAUUCUUUGCUGCUCAGUACGGCAGAAGAAACGCUUUCAGUCUUCCCAAGCUCCUGAAAUUAUUCAGUACACAGAGGCUUAUCAUAUUGCCAAGCUCAUAUAAUCUCCUUAUCAGGGUCAGUCUCACACCAAGUAACAAGAUGUCUUAUCCUUAUGCUGUCCCAGCCAAUAUUAACGUAUUCUUUCCAAAUAAAACAGCUUCUAAUUGCCUAAGCUGCGUGUGAGCUAUCAUCCACGUGGGUUCUCCUGCUAUUGCAAGUAUUUAAUGGCUUUGUAACACUCUGGGUAUGAAAAACACCAUAUAAAAGAAACUUUGGUCUAUUUUGUGUCAUCUUUCAACAACUUGCUGCAGCAGCACUAAGGCAACUUCUUGAUUAAUGUUUUUGUUUGCGGUGCAGGUAUAACUGCAUUUGACCAGGGACACAGAGGCUGGCAUUGCCUCUUUGUACAUGAAAGAAAGUUUUUGACCCCUGCAUGGUCUGAACAACAAAAAGUCAG
rnacentral:lncRNA from 1 species